AACGUAGGUACCGAGCGUUAUCCGGAUUUACUGGGCGUAAAGCGUGUUCAGGCGGCCUGGCAAGUCGGGCAUGAAAUCUCUCGGCUCAACCGAGAGAGGCUGUCCGAUACUGCUGGGCUUGAGGACGGUAGAGGGUGGUGGAAUUCCGCGUGUAGUGGUGAAAUGCGUAGAUAUGCGGAGGAACACCAGUGGCGAAGGCGGCCACCUAGACCGUCCCUGACGCUCAAACACGAAAGCUAGGGUAGCGAACGGG
rnacentral:rRNA from 1 species